rnacentral:rRNA from 1 species
GGGCCUGCGGAAGGAUCAUURSCUAGAGUUGUAGGCUUUGCCUACCAUCUCUUACCCAUGUCUUUUGAGUACCUUCGUUUCCUCGGCGGGUCCGCCCGCCGAUUGGACAAACUUAAACCCUUUGUAAUUGAAAUCAGCGUCUGAAAAAACAUAAUAGUUACAACUUUCAACAACGGAUCUCUUGGUUCUGGCAUCGAUGAAGAACGCAGCGAAAUGCGAUAAGUAGUGUGAAUUGCAGAAUUCAGUGAAUCAUCGAAUCUUUGAACGCACAUUGCGCCCCUUGGUAUUCCAUGGGGCAUGCCUGUUCGAGCGUCAUUUGUACCUUCAAGCUCUGCUUGGUGUUGGGUGUUUGUCUCGCCUUUGCGUGUAGACUCGCCUUAAAACAAUUGGCAGCCGGCGUAUUGAUUUCGGAGCGCAGUACAUCUCGCGCUUUGCACUCAUAACGACGACGUCCAAAAAGUACUUUUUACACUCUUGACCUCGGAUCAGGUAGGGAWACCCGMAUGAACUUAAGCAUAUCAAAAGCCCGGAGGAAAA